UUGUAUCGGUGCUUAUCAAUUUGAGGUU
rnacentral:sRNA from 1 species